rnacentral:lncRNA from 1 species
UUGAAAAAAGGUAAUUUCAUGUGUGAGCGCCUUUACCUUAGAUGCACCACUCUACGCGAACUACUUUAUUCAUUAAACAUAGCAGAAGAAAAAGAACACAGCUGAGAAACUGACGAGCAGAAGAAAAACGCAGCUGAGGAAACUGAAGAAAUCGAUAAAAGUUGUUACUGCAAUGUCAGCAUCACAUCUUAGAUUCAAACAUG